rnacentral:misc_RNA from 1 species
AACGCACAUUGCGCCCCUUGGUAUUCCGAGGGGCAUGCCUGUUCGAGCGUCAUUAUAACCACUCAAGCCUUGGCUUGGUAUUGGGGUUCGCGGUCUCGCGGCCUUUAAAAUCAGUGGCGGUGCCGUCUGGCUCUAAGCGUAGUAAUUCUCUCGCUAUAGGGUCCUGGCGGUUGCUUGCCAAAACCCCCCCAUUUCUUAUGGUUGACCUCGGAUCAGGUAGGGAUACCCGCUGAACUUAA